UGAGUAGUUUUGGACCCGUGUCUGCCGGUAGAUCCCCCGACUCUUUGUGCGGCCGACUACCGGCGCCGUGUCCCGUCAUUCGUGUGGCUUAUGCUGCUGUUGCCUUUCAAGUGCUUGCGUGCUGGUACCCGACCUAYGGGAAGUGGUGCUUCGUACACGGUUACCUCGCGGUGGACACCUUCGGGUGUGCCCCUGCGGCCUAAUUGGCGCUUGCGGCGUUUCCUCGUGGUUCYGGCACGCUUACGUGCCUGAYGCUACCAAGGCAGCCUCGCUCCCGCUGUUGGUCUCGGAUGUUGCUCACGAUAAAGGCUCAUGGCCCUUUUGGUUGCCUCGACCCGACCCUUAAGCUGCUCUCCGAAUUUGAGAACAACCGUGAACAGGUGUUGCCUCUACCUCUCCACAGUUAGUGGUAGGAUACGCAACAUUCUGCGCCGAUCCUCAAUCAAGUAGGAUGAGCUUGGCCCGCUCAAACGCGACAACCGGCUCGGCCGUUGCCUCAGCCUUGACACGCAAGUGGACGGGCGGACAAAGACCGACGCUGGACGUCAACGAGGACGUGCU
rnacentral:misc_RNA from 1 species